UGAUAGUUAAGUAGAUAGAGGGUAAAAUAUCAGACUCGAGCGUGAACAAAACAGGAUGGGGAGGGAGGGACCGAGGAUGAUAAUCGGAGGGUUGCAAUCAAGUUGAAAUUAAAUCGAUGAAAUAAUCUUUAUCGAAAUCGGUGGUAGAUGGUAGAAGAGAAGAAAGAAGGAAGGAAGGAAGGAAGGAAGAAGAACAAGCACCAUCGUCAUCGCUUUCUGGUAUUUCGUUGAAGCAACAGCUAGCAGUGGUGGUGGUGGUGGUUUUAUAGCGGUGUUCGUUGUGUAGUUCGACUUGGUGGUGGGGGGGGGGUGGUUGCACGCUGAAUUAGGGGUAGCAUCAGAGAGAGAGAGAGAGAGAGAAGAACGAAGAAGAGUAGGGAGAAGGACGAGAAUAGAAGAGUCGAGUGGUGGGGAGUUUUGAAAAGAGAGAGAGAGAGAGUAGAAAGAUGGUAGAGGGGAGAGGAAGGAAGAAAGAGGGUGGAAGGGGACGAGAACGGGACAGAGAAUGUCUACAGUAGUAACGGCUGCGUAUACGAGGUUUUAACUCAUGGGGAAAAGUCCGAGAGAGAGGGUGAAAGAGCUUGAGAGAGAGAGAGAGAGAGAGAGAGAGAGAGAGUAAGCACGAGCUUGGUACUCUCAGUCGCGUGUGACACGCGGCCUCAGCUGCCACGUUCGGAAUCUGUCGGAGUUUUCUUCUUUCCGUUUCGUCAAAAAGGCCAACCAAACCAACCAACCAAACCAACCAACCAAUCAACAAGGCAUAAAUAACCCUUCUCGCCAGAUUUUACGCGACGUUUUAAUUUCGCGAGGAAAAAAAAAAGAAAAAAUAUAAUUUCGAAAAGGAAAAGAAGAUAAAAGAAAAAAAAGAAAAUAAAAAAGAAAAGAAAAACUAACGCGAGACACGGAUAAAAUCGUGAAAGGAAAAGUGCGAGAAUUGUUUUUUAUCGAAACAACGUGUGUUAUUGUUCAAAUUAUUCAAUCUACGGUUACUUUUUUUUUUUUCUUUUCUUUUCGUAGAAAGAGAGAGAAAAUAAAAAGAAAAAGAAACUUGAUGAAAAAAGAAUCAGUGUCCUUGUACCGUUAAAGUAAUCGUUUACGAAAGAUCGUUCGUUCGUUCGUUCGGUUCGUUCCUUCCUUCUUCGUACAUUUUUCUCGUCUUUUCUCGAAGUUUAAAGUACUUCGUAAGUUCGAGAAAAGAAGAAGACAAGAAGAAAAAAGAAAAAAAAGAAAGUUUUCUUUAAAGGAAGGAAUUAGAAUCUCGUAAAAGUAAAAAAAAGAAUAAAAAAAAUAAAAACGAAGAAAAAAAAGAAAGAAAGAAAGAAGAAAAAAUAAAGUUUUCCCUCGGACUUCGGAAGGAAGAAAAGUCGAGGAGGAGGAGGAGGAGAAGCAGGAGGAGGAGGAAAAAGGCACCCACCCCCUUCACUGCUCCCCUAAAAUCCGUUCGAAUAGAUUUUAAUCGCGGACGAAGUGUAGAAGUUUCCACACCACUCCUUUUCCCCUUCCCCUUCCUCUCUCUCUCUCUCUCUCUCUCUUUCUUUCUUUAAGCGGCUACUACACGAGAAUGUAAGUGCGAGAAAGAAGAAAUCGUGGUACGAGUUCUUCUAUUCGUAGCGAAUCAAGUUUUCUCGCGGACAAUGAUAUUCGUUAUCGGACUUCGGAAGGAAUAAGUUUUCUUCGGGCUAAAAAAGGGAAGAAAAAUAACAGAAGAGGAGAGGAGAAGAGAAGGGGGCGGGGGUGGGUGCGAGGGUGGACGAAUCGCGCGUGUCCAGGAAGAAAAAUUUAGUUACUUUGAUAGUAAAGAAAACGCUAUGAAGGAAGGUAAACGUAAUUUCGAAGAGGAGAGAGAAAAGUUGGAUGAUGAAUCGUUGAGAAUGAGUUUAACGUUUGGCGCCAAGUGUCGCGCGUCUAACCUUAGCUAAAGUGUUAAGAGUAAUACUGAACUGACUGAGAGAAGAAGAAGAAUAAGAAGAAAAAGAAGAAGAAGAAGAAUAAGAAGAAGAAAUAGUAGAAGAAGAAGAAGAAAGUCUUGUUGAAACCUUACUAUUGCUGCUACUGCUGCUGCUACUAGUAGUGGUGGUGGUGAUAUUACUGGGUGCUGAUAUUGCUGCUAGAAAACUCGUUAUCGUGAUUCCUAGUCGAGUAAAACGAAAAAAAAGGGCCCAGUCGAUUGCAUCGAAAACUUUGACUGAAACCGUGCAAGAAGAAAAUGACAUUUGUUAUCAUCAAUCUUAACGUCAUUCGUUAUUAUAUUAUUUCGUUCAAAAUCUAACGAGUGUCUCUUCGAAGAGAAA
rnacentral:lncRNA from 1 species